UACGUAGGGUGCAAGCGUUGUCCGGAAUUAUUGGGCGUAAAGAGAUCGUAGGCGGCCUGUCACGUCGACUGUGAAAACUCGGGGCUCAACUCCGAGCUUGCAGUCGAUACGGGCAGGCUAGAGUUCGGCAGGGGAGACUGGAAUUCCUGGUGUAGCGGUGAAAUGCGCAGAUAUCAGGAGGAACACCGGUGGCGAAGGCGGGUCUCUGGGCCGAUACUGACACUGAGGAGCGAAAGCGUGGGGAGCGAACAGG
rnacentral:rRNA from 1 species